GCAAGUCUGGUGCCAGCAGCCGCGGUAAUUCCAGCUCCAAUAGCGUAUAUUAAAGUUGUUGCAGUUAAAAAGCUCGUAGUUGAACCUUGGGCCUGGCUGGCCGGUCCGCCUCACCGCGUGCACUGGUCCGGCCGGGCCUUUCCUCCUGGGGAGCCGCAUGCCCUUCACUGGGUGUGUCGGGGAACCAGGACUUUUACUUUGAAAAAAUUAGAGUGUUCAAAGCAGGCCUAUGCUCGAAUACAUUAGCAUGGAAUAAUAGAAUAGGACGUGUGGUUCUAUUUUGUUGGUUUCUAGGACCGCCGUAAUGAUUAAUAGGGAUAGUCGGGGGCAUCAGUAUUCAAUUGUCAGAGGUGAAAUUCUUGGAUUUAUUGAAGACUAACUACUGCGAAAGCAUUUGCCAA
rnacentral:rRNA from 1 species